rnacentral:lncRNA from 1 species
AUUCAGGAGAGCAGAAACGUCACGUGUAUCUGGGCAGACGUGAAACAAACAGGAAGUCACAAACUGUCACAGGAGGAUAUUUGCUCUCAGGGUUUUGCACAUUUGAUUUUAUUGUUGUUUUUAUGACUUUUUAUUUCCUGUUUCCCCUCGCGCCUGUGGCAGAGUUUAUCCACUGAGCCCGGAGGCACGAGAGGAGCGGGUGUAAGGCCAGGGAGAACCGGCUGGAUGGUCCGGACCAGGCAGGAGCAGCGUCUGCGUCUGUCCCGCUGUCACCAUGGCAACAGAAAGACUCGACUGAAGCCAUCAAAUCUGCUCAAAGACUUUCAGACUGAAACUGCAGCCGCCGUCCUAAACGUGGAGCUGUUCCAACUCUGUUCACAUGGAAUAACUUUACUGAACCAGAGAGUCUGUGUCUGCCAUGGAAAAGGCUCAGAAACGAGCUCGUCCUCUCACAGCAAACGAGUCAGGCUGAAGCUGCUCCUGCUCCCACAAACCAUCCAGGUGCACUUGAUGAAGCCCUUAAAUACCAAGGCGUUGGAAGCCAGGCUGGAGAAAGUGACUUUGUGUCCGCUCUUUAGUCGCUGCUGCGCCUCGGACGAUCUGCAAAUGUCAGAGCAAGAGAAACAAACCUGUAGAGAAAAUAAGUUCCAUUUGCACAAUGACAGAACGCUAACAGGAAGUGACCGUUUUUCGGGGUUCGUGAAAAAGGUCUAUUUAAUGUUUUGA